GUACGGGGGGGGCAAGCGUUGUUCGGAAUUACUGGGCGUAAAGGGCGCGUAGGCGGCCUGCUAAGUCGGAUGUGAAAUCCCUCGGCUCAACCGAGGAACUGCAUCCGAUACUGGCGGGCUUGAAUCCGGGAGAGGGAUGUGGAAUUCCAGGUGUAGCGGUGGAAUGCGUAGAGAUCCGGAGGAAGACCGGUGGCGAAGGCGGCCUGCUGGGCAGUUUCUGACACUGAUGCGCGACAGCGUGGGGAGCAAACAGG
rnacentral:rRNA from 1 species